rnacentral:rRNA from 1 species
UCAAGUGACUAAGUGCAUGCGGCGGAUGCCUUGGCGAUCACAGGCGAAGAAAGACGCGGCAGCCUGCGAAAAGCUGCGGGGAGCUGGCAAACGAGCAUUGAUCCGCAGAUAUCUGAAUGGGGGAACCCACACCGCAAGGUGUAUCCGUAGCUGAAUACAUAGGUUACGGAGGCGAACGAGGAGAACUGAAACAUCUAAGUAUCCUCAGGAAAAGAAAUCAACCGAGAUUCCGGCAGUAGCGGCGAGCGAACCCGGAGGAGCCCAGCUUUUGAUAGUACGAACUUUAGCCGAAAGGUCCUGGAAAGGCCUGCUAUAGUGGGUGAUAGCCCCGUAGGCGAAAGAGUUCGUAUGGUACUAAGGAAGCGAGAAGUAGAGCGGGACACGUGGAAUCCUGUUCGAAGACGGGGGGACCAUCCUCCAAGGCUAAAUACUCGUGAUCGACCGAUAGUGAACCAGUACCGUGAGGGAAAGGCGAAAAGAACCCCGGGAGGGGAGUGAAAUAGAACCUGAAACCGCAUGCAUACAAACAGUAGGAGCCUUUACGGAGGUGACUGCGUACCUUUUGCAUAAUGGGUCAGCGACUUACAUUCUGUGGCGAGCUUAACCGAAUAGGGGAGGCGCAGCGAAAGCGAGUUCGAAAUGAGCGUCCAGUCGCAGGGUGUAGACCCGAAACCAGAUGAGCUAUCCAUGGCCAGGUUGAAGGUGUGGUAACACACACUGGAGGACCGAACCGACUAGUGUUGCAAAAUUAGCGGAUGAGCUGUGGAUAGGGGUGAAAGGCCAAACAAAUCUGGAGAUAGCUGGUUCUCCCCGAAAACUAUUGAGGUAGUGCCUCGUGUGUCGCUCCAGGGGGUAGAGCACUGUUUUGGCUAGGGGGACAUGGAGUCUUACCAAACCAAGGCAAACUCCGAAUACCUGGAAGCGUAAGCACGGGAGACAGAGCACCGGGUGCUAACGUCCGGACUCAAAAGGGAAACAACCCAGACCGCCGGCUAAGGUCCCAAAUAACAGCUAAGUGGAAAACGAAGUGGAAAGGCCGUGACAACCAGGAAGUUGGCUUAGAAGCAGCCAUCCUUCAAAGAAAGCGUAAUAGCUCACUGGUCGAGUCCUUCUGCGCGGAAGAUGUAACGGGGCUAAGCUGUUAACCGAAGCCGCGGAUGCACUGGUAAUCCAGUGCGUGGUAGGGGAGCGUUCUGUAAGUCUGCGAAGGCGGUUCGAGAGGACUGCUGGAGAUAUCAGAAGUGCGAAUGCUGACAUGAGUAACGUUAAAGCAGGUGAAAAGCCUGCUCGCCGUAAGCCCAAGGAUUCCUGCUCUACGUUCAUCGGAGCAGGGUGAGUCGGCUCCUAAGGUCAGGCCGAAAGGCGUAGCCGAUGGGAAUCAGGUUAAUAUUCCUGAACCUGCGUCAGAUGCGAUGGGGGGACGGAGCAUGAAAGAUCAUCCGGGUGUUGGAAGUCCCGGUUGUUUAGCGUAGGAGGUCUGCAGGCAAAUCCGCAGACGCAUCUCCAAGGCAAAGACACGUGCCGCCACGGCGGCGAAGUGAUCGGAAGUGCUUCCAAGAAAAGCCUCUAAGCCCCAGUCUGACGCGGACCGUACCGCAAACCGACACUGGUGGGCGAGCUGAAUAUGCUCAGGCGCUUGAGAGAACUCGGGAGAAGGAACUCGGCAAAUUGACACCGUAACUUCGGAAGAAGGUGUGCCGUAGUAGCGUGAGAGGAGAGACUCCUCGAGCGUGAAUCGGUCUCAGAGAAUAGGUGGCUGCGACUGUUUAUUAAAAACACAGCACUCUGCAAAGUCGAAAGACGACGUAUAGGGUGUGAUGCCUGCCCGGUGCUGGAAGAUUAAUUGAUGGGGUGAGAGCCCUUGAUCGAAGUCCCAGUAAACGGCGGCCGUAACUAUAACGGUCCUAAGGUAGCGAAAUUCCUUGUCGGGUAAGUUCCGACCUGCACGAAUGG